rnacentral:rRNA from 1 species
GACGAACGCUGGCGGCGUGCUUAACACAUGCAAGUCGAACGGAAAGGCCCUGCUUUUGUGGGGUGCUCGAGUGGCGACCGGUUGAGUAACACGCUAGUAACCUGCCCUUGACUUUGGGAUAACUUCAGGUAACUGGGGCUAAUACCUGAUAGGAGCUUCUGCUCCAUGGUGUGGGUUGGAAAGUUUCGGCGGUUGGGGAUGGACUCGCGGCUUAUCAGCUUGUUGGUGGGGUAGUGGCUUACCAAGGCUUUGACGGGUAGCCGGCCUGAGAGGGUGACCGGCCAAAUUGGGACUGAGAUACGGCCCAGACUCCUACGGGAGGCAGCAGUGGGGAAUAUUGCACAAUGGGCGGAAGCCUGAUGCAGCAACGCCGCGUGCGGGAUGACGGCCUUCGGGUUGUAAACCGCUUUCGCCUGUGACGAAGCGUGAGUGACGGUAAUGGGUAAAGAAGCACCGGCUAACUACGUG